rnacentral:rRNA from 1 species
UACGGAGGGUGCAAACGUUAUCCGGAAUCACUGGGCGUAAAGCGCGUGUAGGUGGUUAUGUAAGUGGGUGGUUAAAUACCAAGGCUUAACCUUGGGACUGUUUCCCAUACUGCAUGACUUGAGGAAGACAGGGGCAAGUGGAACUUUGGGUGUAGGAGUGAAAUCCGUAGAUAUCCAAAGGAACACCAAUGGCGAAGGCAGCUUGCUGGGUCUUUUCUGACACUGAGACGCGAAAGCGUGGGGAGCAAACGGG